GACCCCUUCGUCUAACGGUCAGGACACGACCCUCUCAAGGUCGCAAUACGGGUUCGAUUCCCGUAGGGGUCGCCA
rnacentral:tRNA from 1 species